GGUUAAGCGACUAAGCGUACACGGUGGAUGCCCUGGCAGUCAGAGGCGAUGAAGGACGUGCUAAUCUGCGAAAAGCGCCGGCGAGGUGAUAUGAACCCUUGACCCGGCGAUGUCCGAAUGGGGAAACCCAGUGUGUUCCGACACACUAUCGUUAACUGAAUACAUAGGUUAACGAGGCGAACCGGGGGAACUGAAACAUCUAAGUACCCCGAGGAAAAGAAAUCAACCGAGAUUCCCCCAGUAGCGGCGAGCGAACGGGGAGCAGCCCGGAGUCUGAAUCAGCUUGUGUGUUAGUGGAACGGUCUGGAAAGUCCGACGGUACAGGGUGAUAGUCCCGUACACGAAAAUGCACUUGCUGUGAACUCGAAGAGUAGGGCGGGACACGUGGUAUCCUGUCUGAAUAUGGGGGGACCAUCCUCCAAGGCUAAAUACUCCUGACUGACCGAUAGUGAACCAGUACCGUGAGGGAAAGGCGAAAAGAACCCCGGCGAGGGGAGUGAAAAAGAACCUGAAACCGUGUACGUACAAGCAGUGGGAGCCUCUUUAUGGGGUGACUGCGUACCUUUUGUAUAAUGGGUCAGCGACUUAUAUUCUGUAGCAAGGUUAACCGUAUAGGGGAGCCGAAGGGAAACCGAGUCUUAACUGGGCGUUAAGUUGCAGGGUAUAGACCCGAAACCCGGUGAUCUAGCCAUGGGCAGGUUGAAGGUUGGGUAACACUAACUGGAGGACCGAACCGACUAAUGUUGAAAAAUUAGCGGAUGACCUGUGGCUGGGGGUGAAAGGCCAAUCAAACCGGGAGAUAGCUGGUUCUCCCCGAAAGCUAUUUAGGUAGCGCCUCGUGAACUCAUCUUCGGGGGUAGAGCACUGUUUCGGCUAGGGGGCCAUCCCGGCUUACCAACCCGAUGCAAACUACGAAUACCGAAGAAUGUUAUCACGGGAGACACACGGCGGGUGCUAACGUCCGUCGUGAAGAGGGAAACAACCCAGACCGCCAGCUAAGGUCCCAAAGUCAUGGUUAAGUGGGAAACGAUGUGGGAAGGCACAGACAGCCAGGAUGUUGGCUUAGAAGCAGCCAUCAUUUAAAGAAAGCGUAAUAGCUCACUGGUCGAGUCGGCCUGCGCGGAAGAUGUAACGGGGCUAAACCAUGCACCGAAGCUGCGGCAGCGACGCUUAUGCGUUGUUGGGUAGGGGAGCGUUCUGUAAGCCGUUGAAGGUGUGCUGUGAGGCAUGCUGGAGGUAUCAGAAGUGCGAAUGCUGACAUAAGUAACGAUAAAGCGGGUGAAAAGCCCGCUCGCCGGAAGACCAAGGGUUCCUGUCCAACGUUAAUCGGGGCAGGGUGAGUCGACCCCUAAGGCGAGGCCGAAAGGCGUAGUCGAUGGGAAACAGGUUAAUAUUCCUGUACUUGGUGUUACUGCGAAGGGGGGACGGAGAAGGCUAUGUCAGCCGGGCGACGGUUGUCCCGGUUUAAGCAUGUAGGCGGAGGUUCCAGGUAAAUCCGGUACCUUUUAACGCUGAGGUGUGAUGACGAGGCACUACGGUGCUGAAGUGAUAAAUGCCCUGCUUCCAGGAAAAGCCUCUAAGCAUCAGGUAACACGAAAUCGUACCCCAAACCGACACAGGUGGUCAGGUAGAGAAUACCAAGGCGCUUGAGAGAACUCGGGUGAAGGAACUAGGCAAAAUGGUGCCGUAACUUCGGGAGAAGGCACGCUGAUAUGUAGGUGAAGCCCCUGCGGGCGGAGCUGAAAUCAGUCGAAGAUACCAGCUGGCUGCAACUGUUUAUUAAAAACACAGCACUGUGCAAACACGAAAGUGGACGUAUACGGUGUGACGCCUGCCCGGUGCCGGAAGGUUAAUUGAUGGGGUUAGCGGCAACGCGAAGCUCUUGAUCGAAGCCCCGGUAAACGGCGGCCGUAACUAUAACGGUCCUAAGGUAGCGAAAUUCCUUGUCGGGUAAGUUCCGACCUGCACGAAUGGCGUAAUGAUGGCCAGGCUGUCUCCACCCGAGACUCAGUGAAAUUGAACUCGCUGUGAAGAUGCAGUGUACCCGCGGCAAGACGGAAAGACCCCGUGAACCUUUACUAUAGCUUGACACUGAACACUGGUCCUUGAUGUGUAGGAUAGGUGGGAGGCUUUGAAGCGUGGACGCCAGUCUGCGUGGAGCCGUCCUUGAAAUACCACCCUUUAAUGGCUGGUGUUCUAACGUAGACCCGUGAUCCGGGUUGCGGACAGUGUCUGGUGGGUAGUUUGACUGGGGCGGUCUCCUCCCAAAGAGUAACGGAGGAGCACGAAGGUUGGCUAAUCCUGGUCGGACAUCAGGAGGUUAGUGCAAUGGCAUAAGCCAGCUUGACUGCGAGCGUGACGGCGCGAGCAGGUGCGAAAGCAGGUCAUAGUGAUCCGGUGGUUCUGAAUGGAAGGGCCAUCGCUCAACGGAUAAAAGGUACUCCGGGGAUAACAGGCUGAUACCGCCCAAGAGUUCAUAUCGACGGCGGUGUUUGGCACCUCGAUGUCGGCUCAUCACAUCCUGGGGCUGAAGUAGGUCCCAAGGGUAUGGCUGUUCGCCAUUUAAAGUGGUACGCGAGCUGGGUUUAGAACGUCGUGAGACAGUUCGGUCCCUAUCUGCCGUGGGCGCUGGAGAAUUGAGGGGGGCUGCUCCUAGUACGAGAGGACCGGAGUGGACGCAUCACUGGUGUUCGGGUUGUCAUGCCAAUGGCACUGCCCGGUAGCUAAAUGCGGAAGAAAUAAGUGCUGAAAGCAUCUAAGCACGAAACUUGCCCCGAGAUGAGUUCUCCCUGAGACCUUGAGUCUCCUGAAGGAACGUUGAAGACGACGACGUUGAUAGGUCGGGUGUGUAAGCGCAGCGAUGCGUUGAGCUAACCGAUACUAAUGAACCGUGAGGCUUAACCUU
rnacentral:rRNA from 1 species